UACGUAGGCAGCGAGCGUUGUUCGGAAUUACUGGGCGUAAAGAGUGUGUAGGCGGUGCUCUAAGUCUGUCGUGAAAUCUCCCGGCUUAACCGGGAGGCUGCGGCGGAAACUGGUGUGCUAGAGGGUGGGAGAGGUAAGCGGAAUUCCUGGUGUAGCGGUGAAAUGCGUAGAUAUCAGGAGGAACACCUGCGGUGUAGACAGCUUACUGGACCACUUCUGACGCUGAGACACGAAAGCGUGGGGAGCAAACAGG
rnacentral:rRNA from 1 species